UUAGUUCCAGGAUUUUUGAAUGAAGAUGAUGUACAACUGCUGAGGUUAUUUGUAAGUUAGUUUGAGUGCCGAAUCGUUCGUGCUGCAUCGGAAGAUCAUUUAGUCCAUGAGCUUGGGAACAGGUGGACUGCAGGAGCAACUAGCUUCCUAUAUUGAACUCCCGGCCCUGAUGAAAAAAAGACAUUUUAGUAUGUGAGAAGGUACCAGGUUUCCAGCCGGUAGGAAAUCCGAGCUUUUAUUGUAGUCAUCAAAUCUUGGUCUUUGAGGAUUCUGGUAACUCUACUUCUCAUCUUUUUCGGGUGUCAUUCAAACUCGUAUAAUAUAUUCAACUUGUGAUGUUUCCUACUUAUACAUGAGUG